UGGUGCACUGUCGCCAGUUCUAAAAGAUGGAUUUCCAGAAACUACUGCUGAUGGGGCACCACAGAGAUGUCUCUACCAAUCAGGCAGAAAUGCAAUGAAGCCUUCUAGAAAGGGAAGGUGAAGCACUGGGAUCUGAACCUGGAGGCGGAUCAGAUGGAAGACUGACCUUGAAGUGAACCUUUUCAGAUGGAAGAACACAGCAACAGAGAGUGCCACAGAGAAAUCUGCAAUCCCUUCCAGAGGCCCGCUGAGCAGAUGCUGCAGGGGAGCCUGGGUUCUGAGGGCUGUGCUGACUUCCCACUUCCUCCGGGAGCCCGCCUAGUUAAAGAUGGAAAAGCAAUUGCCCUGCUCCCUCCACAGGAUCCUGCAACAUGGAGCAUCCCACUCUUUGAAUUCUCCUGGAAACUGAUUUCUGUGCCUCCUGUUCUCCACAUAUAACCACAGGACUGGAGUCUCAGGCGUGUACUCUGAGUAGCUGGACAGGACCCUGCACUGAGAAGGGCCUAGACUUGGUCAAAUGCUCUGUUGUCACUGUCUUGAAAUUCCUAAUAAUAUUUUAACACGGGACCCACAAUUUCAUUUUGAACUGGGCCCCACUAAUUAUGUAGCCAGUCCUGUCUAACCACAAAUAUUAAUGUGAAGCAAUAGCUAAUCAUAACUUUGAUUAUAAAAUAUAUACUCUGAAUAUGAAUCAGUUACAGUAAAUUGACACUCACAAUUUACCACAGUCUAGGAAAAGUCACAAGUUAUUUUAAAGAUUUUUAUGCCCUUACCAUAAUCCUUUUCAUGAAGAAAUGCUUAGUAAAGAUAAGAGAUCAGGAAUGACUAACUUUUAUCACUUUCUGUCAGAGCGUUAAAACAUGGAUAAGAAAAAUCAAUGAAAACUUCCCCAGGUCACAGAAAUUAGUAGUGGCACCUAGACCAAGGAGUUGACAUUUAAUAGCAAUUAAAUUGCAUCUAAAGAACUUUUCUAGUGAACAUGAAAACCCUCAAUGAAAUUUUGAAUUUCUACUUAUAGCACCAAUGAUGUAACCUUUAGGAUGAAGCUAGAGAUCCCUCCUAUUGAAGGUUCCUGAAAAUAAUAGUUUUGUAAUGAAUGGCGUGCAUCCCCCAGAAAAGUAUGGUCAAGUCUUAACCAUGGGUCACUGUGAAUGUGGCCUUUGGAAACAGGGCAACUGAAGAUACAAUUAAGAUGAGGUCAUGCUGGAUUGGGGUAGGCACUAAAUCCAAUGAUCUUAUAAUAGUCAGACCUGCAGAGGUGCACAGAGAACUAGAUGAGAAAAAGAUGGUGUGAGAGAGAGAGAGAGACUGCAGGGACGUACCUAGAAGCCAAAGAACCUGCAAGGCCCCCCAACAACCGCAAGGUAGGAAAGAGGCAGGAGACUGUCUCGGAGACUCCAGAAGGGACCAGCCCUGCCCAUGCUUGGUUUCUCCAAAACUGUGAGAAAAUAAAUUUUUGUGGUUUUUAA